UCCGGUUGAUCCCGCCGGAGGUCACUGCUAUCCGAAUUCGACUAAGGCAUGCAAGUUUUGUGUUCUAUUUUAGGAUGCAAAGCAUACGGCUCAGUAACACGUAGUUAAUCUGCCCUUGGGCCCGGUUUAAUCCCGGAAAACUGGGGGCGAGAACCGGAUAGGCAAGAGAUACUGGAAUGUUCUUUUGCCGAACCAAGGAUGAGACUGCGGCCUAUCAGGUUGUUGCUGGGGUAACGCCCCGGCAAGCCUAUGACGGGUACGGGCCUUGAGAGAGGAAGCCCGGAGAUGGAUUCUGAGACAAGAAUCCAGGCCCUACGGGGCGCAGCAGCCGCGAAAAUUUCACAAUGCCCGCAAGGGUGAUGGAGGGAUUUGGAGUGCUUCUUCAUAUUUGAGGGGGCUUUUGACGACCUUAAAUAAGUCGUUGAAUAAGUGGUGGGUAAUACGGGUGCCAGCCGCCGCGGUAAUACCCGAGCCACAAGUGGUGACCACGUUUAUUGGGCUUAGAGCGUUCGUAGCCGGCUAUUCAAGUCUCUAAUGAAAUCCAGCAGCUAACUGUUGGGCGUGUUAGGGGUACUGUUUAGCUUGGGACCGGGAGAGGUCUGGGGUAUUUUUGGGGUAGGAGUAAAAUCCUAUAAUCCCAAGAGGACCACCUGUGGCGAAGGCGCCAGACUAGAACGGAUCCGACGGUGAGGGACGAAAGCUAGGGGAGCGAAGCGGAUUAGAUACUCGCGUAGUCCUAGCCGUAAACGAUGCCCGCUAGACAUUGUCUGCCUUACGUGGGUAGGCAAAGUCGUAGGGAAACCGUUAAGCGGGCCGCCUGGGGAGUACGGUCGCAAGGCUGAAACUUAAGGGAAUUGGCGGGGGGGCACACAAGGGGUGGAGGCUGCGGUUCAAUUCGAUUCAACGCGAGAAACCUCACCAGAGGCGACAGUAGAAUGAAGGUCAGGCUGAAGGUCUUACCAGACACACUGAGAAGAGGUGCAUGGCCGUCGUCAGUUCGUGUCGUGAGAUGUCCUGUUAAGUCAGGUAACGAACAAGACCCGUACCGCAUGUUGCAAUCUCUCUUUUCUGGGAGAGCACUCAUACGGGACUGCCCGCGCUAAGUGGGAGGAAGGUGCGGUCGACGGCAGGUCAGUAUGCUCUGAAUCCUCUGGGCUACACGCGGCCUACAAUGGUCGGCACAAUGGGAUGCGACUCCGAAAGGAGGAGCUAAUCUCGAAAACCGAUCCCAGUCCAGAUCGAGGGUUGCAACUCACCCUCGUGAAGUCGAAAUCCCUAGUAGUCGCUGGUCAUCAUCUAGCGACGAAUACGUUCCUGUUCCUUGCACACACUGCCCGUC
rnacentral:rRNA from 1 species